rnacentral:rRNA from 1 species
GAUUGAACGCUGGCGGUAUGCUUAACACAUGCAAGUCGAACGGAAACGAUACUAGCUUGCUAGUAGGCGUCGAGUGGCGGACGGGUGAGUAACGCGUAGGAAUCUGCCUGAUAGUGGGGGAUAGCCCGAAGAAAUUCGGAUUAAUACCGCAUAAUCUAUUCGUAGUAAAGUGGGGGACUUUCGAGCCUCACGCUAUCAGAUGAGCCUGCGUAAGAUUAGCUUGUUGGUAGGGUAAAAGCCUACCAAGGCGACGAUCUUUAGCUGGUCUGAGAGGAUGAUCAGCCACAUCGGGACUGAGACACGGCCCGAACUCCUACGGGAGGCAGCAGUGGGGAAUAUUGGACAAUGGGGGCAACCCUGAUCCAGCAAUACCGCGUGUGUGAAGAAGGCCUGAGGGUUGUAAAGCACUUUCAAUUGUGAAGAAAAGUUAGCGGUUAAUAACCGUUAGCCUUGACGUUAACUUUAGAAGAAGCACCGGCUAACUCCGUGCCAGCAGCCGCGGUAAUACGGAGGGUGCAAGCGUUAAUCGGAAUUACUGGGCGUAAAGCGUGCGUAGGCGGUUUAUUAAGUCAGAUGUGAAAGCCCCGGGCUUAACCUGGGAACUGCAUUUGAAACUGGUCAACUAGAGUAUGGUAGAGGAAAGUGGAAUUUCUGGUGUAGCGGUGAAAUGCGUAGAUAUCAGAAGGAACAUCAAUGGCGAAGGCAGCUUUCUGGACCAAUACUGACGCUGAGGUACGAAAGCGUGGGUAGCAAACAGGAUUAGAUACCCUGGUAGUCCACGCCGUAAACGAUGAUAACUAGCCGUUGGGGGGAUUUACCCUUUAGUGGCGAAGCUAACGCGUUAAGUUAUCCGCCUGGGGAGUACGGCCGCAAGGUUAAAACUCAAAGGAAUUGACGGGGACCCGCACAAGCGGUGGAGCAUGUGGUUUAAUUCGAUGCAACGCGAAGAACCUUACCUGGUCUUGACAUCCUGCGAACUUUCUAGAAAUAGAUUGGUGCCUUCGGGAACGCAGUGACAGGUGCUGCAUGGCUGUCGUCAGCUCGUGUCGUGAGAUGUUGGGUUAAGUCCCGUAACGAGCGCAACCCCUAUCCUUAUUUGCCAGCACAUCAUGGUGGGAACUAUAAGGAGACUGCCGGUGAUAAACCGGAGGAAGGCGGGGACGACGUCAAGUCAUCAUGGCCCUUACGACCAGGGCUACACACGUGCUACAAUGGGAAGGACAAAGAGCCGCGAAGCCGCGAGGUGUAGCUAAUCUCAUAAACCUUUUCGUAGUCCGGAUUGGAGUCUGCAACUCGACUCCAUGAAGUCGGAAUCGCUAGUAAUCGUAGAUCAGAAUGCUACGGUGAAUACGUUCCCGGGUCUUGCACACACCGCC